rnacentral:rRNA from 1 species
AUUGAACGCUGGCGGCAGGCUUAACACAUGCAAGUCGAACGAGUGGCGGACGGGUGAGUAAUGCUUGGGAAUCUGGCUUAUGGAGGGGGAUCACUACGGGAAACUGUAGCUACUACCGCGUACCAUAGGCUGAGCCCACGUGGGAUUAGGUAGUUGGUGUGGUAAAGGCUCACCAAGCCGACGAUCCCUAGCUGGUCUGAGAGGAUGACCGGCGACACUGGGACUGAGACACGGCCCAGACUCCUACGGGAGGCAGCAGUGGGGAAUAUGGCGCAAUGGGGGCAACACUGACGCAGCCAUGCCGCGUGUGUGAAGAAGGCCUUCGGGUUGUAAAGUACUUUCAGCGAGGAGGCGUUACUCGCAGAAGAAGCACCGGCUAACUCCGUGCCAGCAGCCGCGGUAAUAC